rnacentral:rRNA from 1 species
GUCGAGCGGUAGAGANAAGCUUGCUUCUCUUGAGAGCGGCGGACGGGUGAGUAAUGCCUAGGAAUCUGCCUGGUAGUGGGGGAUAACGUCCGGAAACGGACGCUAAUACCGCAUACGUCCUACGGGAGAAAGCAGGGGACCUUCGGGCCUUGCGCUAUCAGAUGAGCCUAGGUCGGAUUAGCUAGUUGGUGGGGUAAUGGCUCACCAAGGCGACGAUCCGUAACUGGUCUGAGAGGAUGAUCAGUCACACUGGAACUGAGACACGGUCCAGACUCCUACGGGAGGCAGCAGUGGGGAAUAUUGGACAAUGGGCGAAAGCCUGAUCCAGCCAUGCCGCGUGUGUGAAGAAGGUCUUCGGAUUGUAAAG